CUUACGCCGGCGACCGGCGGACGGGUGCGUAACGCGUAUGUAACCUACCUUUGACAGGGGGAUAACAUCGAGAAAUUGGUACUAAUACCCCAUAACAUCACCGGAGGCAUCUUCGGUGGUUGAAAACUCAGGUGGUCAGAGAUGGACAUGCGUUGUAUUAGCUAGUUGGUGAGGUAACGGCUCACCAAGGCGACGAUACAUAGGGGGACUGAGAGGUCAACCCCCCACAUUGGUACUGAGACACGGACCAAACUCCUACGGGAGGCAGCAG
rnacentral:rRNA from 1 species